UUGGGAAUAUUGGACAAUGGGGGCAACCCUGAUCCAGCAAUGCCGCGUGAGUGACGAAGGCCUUCGGGUCGUAAAGCUCUUUCAGCAGGGAACAAGGGAAACUUGAUGGUACCUGAAGAAGAAGCACCGGCUAACUCCGUGCCAGCAGCCGCGGUAAUACGGAGGGUGCAAGCGUUGUUCGGAAUCAUUGGGCGUAAAGCGCGUGUAGGCGGCUAUUUAAGUCUGAUGUGAAAGCCCGGGGCUUAACCCCGGAAGUGCAUUGGAUACUGAAUAGCUAGAGGGCGAGAGAGGAUAGUGGAAUUCCUGGUGUAGGGGUGAAAUCCGUAGAUAUCAGGAGGAACAUCAGUGGCGAAGGCGGCUAUCUGGCUCGCAUCUGACGCUCAGACGCGAAAGCGUGGGGAGCAAACAGG
rnacentral:rRNA from 1 species